rnacentral:rRNA from 1 species
GAUGAACGCUAGCGGCAGGCUUAAUACAUGCAAGUCGAGGGACAGCACAGGUAGCAAUACUGGGUGGUAACCGGCAAACGGGUGCGGAACACGUACACAACCUUCCUUUAAGUGGGGGAUAGCCCAGAGAAAUUUGGAUUAAUACCCCGUAAUAUAGUUGAAUGGCAUCAUUUGAUUAUUAUAGCUACGGCGCUUAAUGAUGGGUGUGCGGCUGAUUAGAUAGUUGGCGGGGUAACGGCCCAUCAAGUCUACGAUCAGUAGCUGAUGUGAGAGCAUGAUCAGCCAAACGGGCACUGAGACACGGGCCCGACUCCUACGGGAGGCAGCAGUAAGGAAUAUUGGUCAAUGGACGCAAGUCUGAACCAGCCAUGCCGCGUGAAGGAUUAAGGUCCUCUGGAUUGUAAACUUCUUUUAUUUGGGACGAAAAAGGGCCUUUCUAGGUCAACUGACGGUACCAGAUGAAUAAGCACCGGCUAACUCCGUGCCAGCCGCCGCAGUAAUAC